UGCUGGGUAUCCGGUCCCCUGCCGUCCCCUCUGCCUCAUCAUUGUCGUCCUUAUCAUCGCCAUUGCUGUCCAGCUCUGGCCAGAGCAUGAACAGCCCGGAAGGCUGGGACUCUUCAGCGCCUCAGAUGUGCAGGUGGUUCCCCAGCAUGGCUGCAGCUGACCGCUGUUCUCUCCAAUCCCUUCACUUCCCCUUUUUUUUCUUUAAGACUUAGAAAUUUGCGCUCACUCAGCUCGCAGGGAUACAGCAGAUGCCUUCAGGAUCUUUCAGAGGUGGGUAGGCAAAUGGCUUCUGCUGAGACUGUCCGAACACUGCGGGACAUGGUGACACUGUCUUACUUGUUGCUUUCCUGGGAUACAGCUUCUCCCCAGAGUGUCUGAGUCAAGCUGUCCAGAGUACCACCACGAUGCACCUCCUCUAGCAUCACCUGGCCCCUCCUUUAGGCAAAUGUUUCAUUAAGAAUCUUGUCAAGUGGUGAAGAAAAAGCCAGAAGUCCUCAUCCACAGGAUGGAAGAGGGUUUCCUGGACAGCCUCUUCAUUGGCACAGCUGUGGAUAAUCAUGUUCCAGCAAGGCUGGCACCCUCCAUUCUGGGACAUGGUAGCCAGUAGUGCUCAAGAGGUAGCUCUACCUGCAGGACUUCCCAGUACAGGAGCUCCACCUGAAAGAGCAGGGAGGAGUCUCUCAGGUACUUGUCGAAAACUAAUCUCAGGUACUUUCAGCCUCCUGGGAGAACCCCAAAUAGGACACAACUUUGGAAAGCUUCCUUUGCCCAUUACCUGGCUUAGCACCUGGGAAUGGGUACUUUUCUCGACUAAAUAUGACCAUCUUCUUGAUGGAACCAUGACAGUCACACCUGAGGUCGUAGACAGAGUCAUCCAGCCUGGGCUGAAGCAAUAACAUCAUACUAUUGGUCAGGGUGACUAUUUCUGAACUUCUGGUUUUCCCCAGGUUGUGACCACAUGGCUCUAGUUUUGUUGACAGCUGAUAACCCACAGUCCUGGUCUGGCAACAGGGAACUGGAGGACUCCAGGGGGGUGGAAAAAGUCACCUGAAGUACUCACUUAUGCCUGACUAUGUCAAGGUCCCAACCUGCUCUGUUGGCUACACUAAGGGUGGCUUUGGGGAGAAAGAAGGACACAAAACCCAAGAAUAAUACCACAAAUAUUCAUGAGAUGAAGAACUCCUAGAAAAAGUAAACAGGGAAUGGGUGCACAUGUAGGUUUGUCCAGGAGAGGAAGCAGAGGGGAGAUUCUUACAGACCAGAAGCACUAACACUGGUAGAGGGCAGGAGGGGCUCCCUCCUGGAGAUAUAGUUCCAUCAUGCCAGGAUAGGUGUACAGUGGUGGUGCUGAGACUCAGGUUCCUGCUGAUGCCUCUCAAAAAGGAAAGUCAGUCGAUCUCUUAUUUAGCAUACAUUUAUUGAGCAUUUAUUGCACAUCAGGCAGAGAGUCUUUUCACAUAAAAAGCAACAUGUAAAGGUGUAAGGUCUCCCAGAAGUUAAUCUUUGGUAUCCCCUUCCCUUUUUCAACUGCCUCAAAGGUUUCCACUUGCCACAGUCCAAUUUUACUACAUACCUAAAGCAUCUGACCACGAUAAGGAAACGAAGGGUCAUUUCAGUCCCAAGGAUGACAAGGCUACUCUCAAGAAGAUUGUGGGAAACUAAAGUGACUAUGAAAAUCAGACUCUCCAGAAGAUAGAAACAGAGACCAUGAUGGGCAAUUGCUAGAGAAUGGAAUGUCUUCAUGUUAAAUACAUAUAAUUCCUUCCCAUAUUAAAGCAGAAAUGAAUCAACCUCCCUGACUCAAACAUGACUCUGAUCUUCCAGAGAAGAAAAAGAGUUCAUGAAGGACCAUGGACUGAACUAAAAACAGUACCUGUUUUUUUUUUCCUUUUUUAGGAAGAUGGGUAUACUUUGCAUCCAUGUUGGGGGAACAAAGGAGAAAAAGAGGGCUAUGGGAAAAUGGGACCUUAUUUCAAGAUAGCCCAGCUGAGAUAGGUCCAUUCCUUUUAUAUGGGCUUUCAUUGUAUUGGCAGGAUCCACUGUGUCUGUUGUCAUGGAAAUGGAAUCUUUGCUAGUAGAGAUGGAGUCAGAUGAAGACAGCAAAUGGUGAGCUGAUGACUUCCUCUGAAGGAAAUAACCCUAGUAUGAAAAGACUUACUUGGACUUGUUUCAGAAUGUCUAGUAGUGUUAGAUUCCCACCCGGUUGUUGUGCCUUCUCUAAUGGCUGCCAUGUGGGAAAAGGGAAAAAGGUCCCUUUGGGGCUAGUGUCUAAGGAAGGAUUAGAGUCUAGCAUGCCCUUGGACUCAACUGUUGUGGAUCCAUGUGGGAGAGAGCUAGUGCCCAUAGAUACUCUAGAAGAAACGUUGGUUGGAGUAGGAGGGAGGGUUGUUCCAGAAAAGAAAUAGUUGUCUGAGUUGUCUCUGGACAUUGUUUCCCUGCAGCAGAAUUCACAGGUAGGACUGAUCAGAGCCUAGGCCAUAAGAGGUCCCUCCUAGUGUCUUUAAACUGGGAGGUACCAAAUCUGAGUAUCCAACCUCAAAAAGACUGGUUGGCCAUGUCCUCUGAGUUAUCCAGGGAUAGACCCCUGGGAACUGCUAUCUUUGUGUACUUGCUGGACAAUCCUGUGUCUAAAAGAGAUGAUUUGAGGUAGAGCUAAGAUGGAAUACAAGCAGAGAAAGCUCCAAUUGCUCUGAAAGUCCUCUCCAACCACUCUAAAAUAACAUUUCAAAAUGAAUUUUGGAGUAAUUGAACCAACACGGGCACAGAGUACAGUAACUUUCCUGCAGAAAAUAACUUGGAAGGUAGACAGGGGAUCUCUUUCACGGUGGUGAGAGGAGAAUGCAGCUGGCAGCAAAGCUGUACCAAAGAGUAAAGGCACAAGGCAAUAGCAACCCUUGCCAACUGCCCACCUACUGCUUUAGGUCUAGUCAUAGUCAAUUUUGGUACCCUGAGUCCCUGCCUAAGCCAAUUAACAGUACACCCCUUGCCUAAACCACGAAAUCCCAAGACCUAGCUCAAGCCUGUAAUGAGGCCCCAUACCCUAAUGCAAAGCAAUCCAUGGAGUUGCUGGCCAGUGCAACUCUAAGAGGAGGCUAGAACUCUUGGCAAAGACUGCAGUGAGGCACCAAACCCCAGUGUAAGGUAGUCCACAAAGAAUAUGCCUUAUAUAGAUGCAGAGUGCAAUGAAGCCCCAAGCCCCAGUGCAAAAGAGUUCACAGUGCAACUAGCUCAUGUUAGCCCUUGAAACUUGUUCCUGUUUUAAUAAAUAUUAUAAAAAUGACAAUUGUAUCUAAAUUAAUGUACUUAUUCAGUGACACACAAUUCAAACUAUUAAAGAUAUAUUUUCUAGAAGUAGAAAAAAUAUCAAAAUUCUCCCGGAAGAACAAUAGAGUAAGAAUUUAAUGAAGGGAAUAAAUGGCAAAAUGAAGGAAUAUGGCCUAGCAGUUCCAAAUCUCAAACUGACCUAUAAAGCUGAAACAUCAAAACAAUAUAGUCCUGGCUAAAAAGUGACAAGAUUCAAGCUUUGGGGAUAAGAACUCAAUGUUGAAUAAAAACUGCUGUGUAAACUGUGUAAACUGUUAAAACAGUGUGGCACAAAUCAGGUAGAAACCAAUAUCUCAUACCUUAUGCCAAGAUAAAGUCAAAAUGGGUAUAUGAUUUAGAACUAAAGAGUGAUGCUAUAAUAAACAAGGGAGGGUGGAAUGGUUUCUUGAUGGGUCUGUGCAAAAGUAAAUAAUUUAUGACCAAACAAGAGAUAGAAAACAUUACAAAAUAGAAAAUGAAUAAUUUUGAUUUCAUUAAUUUUUGUGUACAUGAAUCCCAUAUAACCAAGACUAGAAGGGAAACAAUAAAAAGGCGGGAGGGUAUAAAAUUUCUCUAAUAAAGAUCUUUUUCUCAAACUUGUAGAUAACUAAGUCAACUUUAUAAGAGUACAAGCCAUUCCCCAAUUGACAAAUGGUCAAAGGAUGUAAACUAGCAGUUUUCAGAUGAAGGAAGUAAAGGUGUGAACUAACCACGAAAGCUGUGAACACCCAUUUCAUACAUUGAGUGGGAGGUCUGUGACCCACAUGUGAAAGAGUGGGCAGUUCUGGUGUGGAGCAUUGGCUGUGAUUGGUAGACAUAAAAAUUAGGGGAAGCUACACAACAGAAAAAUGUCUUUAAAAUAGUGGAAAAAGAGACACACAGAGACAGUCCCUUGAAGUUGGAGUGAAGACAGUCACGUGGAGCUGGAGGGAAGACAGACACUUGAGGAGAGACUGGAAGAUAAACAGUCAGACUUGGAGUGAAGACUUGGCUGUGGAACUGGACCCGUGGAGGAGCUUGUGCAGGAGAUUUCAGACUACUUUCCUUUUAGACAGUCACAGUGGUGAGUGUCUAGGCUGACAUCUUCCUUGUCCUUUCUGGAGGUAUGAACCUCCAUGAAAGGCCAAUUGUCUUGAGACACCUUUCCCCUGACUGUUGCCUUAGAAUUUCUAACUGGUUCAGAGGAAACUGGAGCUCUAGCUCUCUCUCUCUCCCUCUGUCUCUGUCUAUCACUCUCUCUCUCUCUCACUCUCUUUCUUUCUUUGUCUCUCCCCUUUUCUCUCUUCCUUAAUAUCUUCCCUCUAUUGUAAAAAUAAACUACCAUAAAUUACACUUUA